AUUGAACGCUGGCGGCAUGCCUUACACAUGCAAGUCGAACGGUAACACACCGCAAGCUGCUGACUAGUGGCGACCGGGUGAGUACUGCAUCGGAACGUGCCCAGUCGUGGUUUUUAACUACUCGAAAGAGUAGCUAAUACCCCCUACUACCUAUUACGCAAUACGGGUGACCGUAAGGCCUCGCCCGAUUUGACCGGCCGAUGUCAGACUAGGUAGUUGGCGGGGUAAAGGCUCACCAAGCCCACGAUCUGUAGCUGGUCUGAGAGGAUAACCAGCCACACUGGAACUGAGACACGGCCCAGACUCCUACGGGAGGCAGCAGUGGGGAAUUUUGGACAAUGGGCGCAAGCCUGAUCCAGCAGUGCCGCGUGCAGGAAGAAGGCCUUCGGGUUGUAAACUGCUUUUGUACGGAACGAAACGGAUCUGGUUAAUACCCGGGGCUAAUGACGGUACCGAAAGAAUAAGCACCGGCUAACUACGUG
rnacentral:rRNA from 1 species